CCCAGGAUUAGCAGCGCGCUCUG
rnacentral:piRNA from 1 species